rnacentral:rRNA from 1 species
AGAGUUUGAUCCUGGCUCAGAACGAACGCUGGCGGCGUGCUUAACACAUGCAAGUCGAACGUGAUCCAGAGCUUGCUCUGGUGAAAGUGGCGCACGGGUGAGUAACGCGUGGAUAACCUGCCCUGGUAUCUGGGAUAACAUCUCGAAAGGGGUGCUAAUACCGGAUAAGCCUACGGACUCCUCGGAGUCUGCAGGAAAAGGAGGCCUCUAUUUAUAACCUUCCGUAUCAUGAUGGGUCCGCGUACCAUUAGCUAGUUGGUGGGGUAAUGGCCUACCAAGGCGACGAUGGUUAGCUGGUCUGAGAGGAUGAUCAGCCACACUGGAACUGAGACACGGUCCAGACUCCUACGGGAGGCAGCAGUGGGGAAUUUUGCGCAAUGGGGGAAACCCUGACGGAGCAACGCCGCGUGAGUGAUGAAGGCUUUCGGGUCGUAAAGCUCUGUCAGAGGGGAAGAAAUGGAACUGGCUAAUAUCCAGUUUUCUUGACGGUACCCUCAAAGGAAGCACCGGCUAACUCCGUGCCAGCCGCCGCGGUAAUUC